rnacentral:lncRNA from 1 species
AGUUUCCUCGAUCUUUUAAUGAAGCAUUCCUCUUUUUAAUUAUGUUAAUUUCACAUAUUUAUUAUGUGAUAACUGAUACGUUUGUAUACUAUUUCUUUCUCUAUUUUUUGUUUUUGCUUUUUGUUUCCAUCUUUCUGUAAAUAGUUUGUGACUUUCGUUCUUUUCCUGGAACAUCUUGUGAUAGGAAGAAGAACGUUUUGAUUGAGCAAUUUAUUCCAAUUUAACUUCUUCAAAAACAAAAAAAAAAACUUAUACGUUUGUGAAUGUUUAAAAUUGAUAAAAAAAAAUCUUGUAUUUUUUUAUUAGAUUCUAUAUUUAAACUUAUUAUUGGGAAAGUGUGUCACAUAUUCCCAAAUUUUAUUUUAUUUUUUGUAAUUUUCCCUUUGCUAUCUCAAAAAGGUAAAAUAAAAAUUAUUUCAUAUAAAUGAAAUUUUGUUAUGUGACCUCCUGUUUAAUUUUGUCCAAAGGACAAACAUAACACUUCAAUGUAGUUAGAGAUAUUUUACAAAAUCUUAUAACAACUAUUUAAUUUGUAUAAAGAAAUCAUGUGCUUUAUACAUUAUAAAUUCAUCAAAUCCUUCUUUAUUUGUUUCAUGCAAAAAGGAAAAAUAUGGCUAAAGUCACUAAGUUUGGUUAUAUUAUAAUCCACUUUCUUUCACUAUUUUUCCUUGCAAUGAACGUUGCAGGUAAGUCAUCUUUCAUUAUUUUACAAUUGUUUUUUAUACUUCUUACCUAAGCUUUUAUCCCCUUUAAUUACUAAAAUUUUUACCUUCUUUUUAUCAUCAUAGGAGGUCGUGAAUGUCAUGCGAACUCUCAUUGUGUAGGUAAAAUUACCUGUGUGCUUCCUCAGAAACCGGAAUGUUGGAAUUAUGCAUGUGUUUGUUAUGAUUCAAAUAAAUAUCGUUGAUGAUAAAGUGU